GUGAGUUAAACACUUUCGUGGAUUUUUAAACCGAAACCCCUGCUGGGGGGGAGGGGAAUUUUUGCCAAAUUUUUUCUCGGAACCAUGAUUCUGAUAUAAAAAAGAAUGACAUUUUUGCGAAAAAAUCAAAACACUCUCUUUUGGCAAAUAAAUACAUUAAUCACACAUUGAAGCUCGUAAGCCAAUUUUAUUCUACGGAACUUUAAUACGAGGGUGCAUAAAACCUUCCCUAGGGAAUCACCAGAACCCUUACCUCGAACUCUAGUUCGGAAUUUUUUUUUACUUAUUUUUGAAAAAAUCUUUAAACCUGGUUUUCCUAGUUUUCCAUAAUAAAUUAAGUGGCAACUCUAAAAUUACUAAAAUCCAAUUAGAGCACCAAUAACGUCGUAGUAACUUUUAUGCCUUAACCCGCAUAAAAGCGAACUGUAACAACCAUUUCACACGGAUUCAAGAUGAAUCCCUCUAAAGCCGAAAGUCCCACAUCGAUACUUAGAAAAAGAUUUGGGGUUUUGGGGGUUCUAUAGAAAGAACUCCCAAGUCAGUAACACACACACACACAAGUCUCAAUAUUCAGAGCAAAAAAAACUCAAUAUACCUAGGGAUCUAGCCAUUUCUGCUAGAACCUUUAACUUAUUGAGUUUCCUAGUUUUUUAAUUUAAUUCUUUCGUUUGUGGCUAAGUUUUGAGGUAUGAGGAGCGAGAAGAUCUCCAAUUUCAAUCUCGAUUCAAGGCUGCACAUAAGAAAGGACCCUUGACGAUGCCAUUUGGGCCAACUUCUCAUAAACCUGUUGGGCUAGAGGCCCAACUCCUCUUGUGAUAGAGUCCGGGCGGAAUUAAAAAUAAAGAAGGCCCAACCAUGGGUGAAAAUGGUCAACUGGUGGGCUUAGGUAGGCCCACCAGCCUUCCCCUUCUUUUAUCUUUAUGUAUUUGUAAAUGUUGUUGUAAACAAAUACUUGUAAAUAUUGAAACUCGAUGGUUAGGACUUAGGAAUUUCAUGUAGAAGUGAGGAAAAACUUUCAAAACGAUUUUCCAAGUUUGGACACGGUUAAAGUAGAAUCAAUGCAUGAAAUUGGUAAUUGAAUUU